rnacentral:rRNA from 1 species
CCUACGGGAGGCUGCAGUGGGGAAUAUUGGACAAUGGGCGAAAGCCUGAUCCAGCCAUGCCGCGUGUGUGAAGAAGGCCUUCGGGUUGUAAAGCACUUUCAGCGGGGAAGAAAGCCUUGGGGCUAAUACCCUCGAGGAAGGACAUCACCCACAGAAGAAGCACCGGCUAACUCCGUGCCAGCAGCCGCGGUAAUACGGAGGGUGCGAGCGUUAAUCGGAAUUACUGGGCGUAAAGCGCGCGUAGGCGGUCUGAUAAGCCGGUUGUGAAAGCCCCGGGCUCAACCUGGGAACGGCAUCCGGAACUGUCAGGCUAGAGUGCAGGAGAGGAAGGUAGAAUUCCCGGUGUAGCGGUGAAAUGCGUAGAGAUCGGGAGGAAUACCAGUGGCGAAGGCGGCCUUCUGGACUGACACUGACGCUGAGGUGCGAAAGCGUGGGUAGCAAACAGGAUUAGAUACCCGAGUAGUC